rnacentral:rRNA from 1 species
CCAAUAGCGUAUAUUAAAGUUGUUGCAGUUAAAAAGCUCGUAGUUGAAUUUCGGGGUUAGCAGGUCGGUCGUGCCAUUGGUAUGAACUGGUCUCGCUGAUUCCUCCCUCUUGAAGAACUGUGAUGCCAUUAAUUUGGUGUCGCAGGGAAUCAGGACUGUUACUUUGAAAAAAUUAGAGUGUUUAAAGCAGGCUUACGCUUGAAUACAUUAGCAUGGAAUAAUGAAAUAGGACGUUUGAUCCUAUUUUGUUGGUUUCUAGGAUUGACGUAAUGAUUAAUAAGGAUAGUUGGGGGCAUUAGUAUUCAAUUGUCAGAGGUGAAAUUCUUGGAUUUAUUGAAGACUAACUACUGCGAAAGCAUUUGCCAAGGAUGUUUUCAUUAAUCAAGAACGAAAGUUAGGGGAUCGAAGACGAUCAGACACCGUCGUAGUCUUAACCAUAAACUAUGCCGACUAGGGAUCGGAUGAUGUUAAUUUUUUAAUGACUCAUUCGGCGCCUUACG